GGCGGUGCAGGGGGUGGAUUGGACCCUGUCGGCGCUGCUGUUCCCGGCGAUCGCGGUUGUGAUUCUGGGCGGCGUCGAUUCCAUCGUCGGCGUACUGCUG
rnacentral:tRNA from 1 species